rnacentral:rRNA from 1 species
GAUGAACGCUGGCGGCGUGCCUAAUACAUGCAAGUCGAGCGGCCGGACGAGAAGAUUGCUUCUCUGCUGUUAGCGGCGGACGGGUGAGUAACACGUGGAUAACCUACCUAUAUUUCUUGGAUGACUACGGGAAACCAGAGAUACUACCAGCUAAUAUUUUCAACCGCAUGGAUCAAAAGUGAAAGACGGUCUUGCUGUCACUUAUAGAUGGAUCCGCGCUGCAUUAGCUAGUUGGUAAGGUAACGGCUUACCAAGGCGACGAUGCAUAGCCGACCUGAGAGGAUGAUCAGCCACACUGGAACUGAGACACGGUCCAGACUCCUACGGGAGGCAGCAGUGGGGAAUAUUCGACAAUGGGCGCAAGCCUGAUGCAGCCACACCGCGUGAGUGAAGAAGGUCUUCGGGUUGUAAAGCUCUUUUGUUGGGAAAGAAAAGCAGCAGGUUAAUACCCCGCUGUUCUGACGGUACCCAAAGAAAAAGCACCGGCUAACUUCGUG